UGAACUAGCACUAAACCAUGCAUGACGAACUAUCCGGGUUAUUCACUAAACCACAAAUCUUUUUCUGAAUUGCCAAAAUCCAGUGAAAAUGACUGUAUUCCGAAUGCAUUGACAAUAAGCAGAUUUACUAAUGCUAACUGCGCGUCGGAUUCUGUAACAUUCAUUCAGGAAAUUAGCGAUUUUUCGUAUCCAAAUCAAUGUAGA